AUUGAACGCUGGCGGCAGGCCUAACACAUGCAAGUCGAGCGAGCAGCUGACGGGUGAGUAAUGUAUGGGGAUCUGCCCGCACGAGGGGGAUAACUACUGGAAACGGUAGCUAAUAACGCAUACUAUCGGAUGCACCCAUAGGGGAUUAGCUAGUAGGUGGGGUAAAGGCUCACCUAGGCGACGAUCUCUAGCUGGUCUGAGAGGAUGAACAGCCACACGGGGAAGGAGACACGUCCCAGACUCCUACGGGAGGCAUCAGUGGGGAAUAUUGCACAAUGGGCGCAAGCCUGAUGCAGCCAUGCCGCGUGUAUGAAGAAGGCCUUAGGGUUGUAAAGUACUUUCAGCGGGGAGGCGUUACCCGCAGAAGAAGCACCGGCUAACUCCGUGCCAGCAGCCGCGGUAAUAC
rnacentral:rRNA from 1 species